rnacentral:lncRNA from 1 species
AAACCAAAAGAACUAACACAUUUGAAUUAGCAAACUAACAGAAUCACAAUAGUUCAACUCAAUCCUAUUAAUUGAAAAUGAAAACACUACUAAAUGUUUUAUCUCACUUCUGGAUGGGUUUUCAAAGAAUUUGCGAAAAACAACUAACAUGAACCUAACUACUACUGACAUGGCGUAUUCUAUUAACCUAGCAGGAGACCGAAAAAUUCAUAUGAAUCUAGAAAGUAGCAGUUUAUACGGUCCAUUUACUACAAAAUCAAUUUUAGUCCAAACAGUAUAACUACAAGCAAGGGUCUAAAUAGUACUAAUGAACCAAAUAGUUAAAUACACAAAUCAGAAAUUGAAUCAGAUUAAAUCUCAUGCAUUGAUUACAGGUUCAUCCUUCACAUUCAGCUCACAAUUAUCAAAAUAUAGCUGUGUACCUGAAAAUCAAUUUACAAUGGAAGAAGAAGAAGAGAUCAGCAGUAGCACUAAUAGGCAGAACUCAACAAUAACCCAGAAAUUAGUUAAACAGCCCAGAAAAGUUUGAAACAAAGCAAACCCAAACAAUUAACUAUAAAUAACUCGAAAUGCACUUAGACAAGCUCGAAAUGCACAAGAAUACUUUAGCAAAUUCCAAAACCAUCCAAAAUCAGUUUAAACAGACCCAAAUUGCUCGAACUUAAACCAAUGAACAUUUGAAGUUCCCAUAAACAAAUAUUGUACAUUUUGGUUUUUGAAGAGCUUUUUGUUGUUUUUUUGGUUUUUCUGUCAAAAGCUAAGAUCUAGAGCAGAAUUUUUUGAACUUCUACUUAUUUGACAUUCAAAAUCAGGCUCAGAUUUGAAAGAGGAUUUUUGGGGGGAAUUUCUGAAGUUCCAAACUUGUAUGUUAAGGCACUAUUCAUUGCCUUUUAUAGGCAAAAUGAGGGCAGCCCUCAGAUUUUUUGUUUACCCUAUCAGUCCCUACUUCUUUUUAGCUUUAAUCCCUUAUUUAUAACUUUUCACACAAGUAAACCCCUAAGUUUGCUGAAAUAUUCACUAAAAUCUUAUUCUAGAAGGGUCUAAACUAUUCUAGUGUGAUCUACCAUAUUCUACCGAAUACCAAAUACCUAAAUUACCCUUUAAUGCCUCUAAAAUUACCUAAACUAAACCCCUAUCUAUGGUUAUCUAAUUUACAAACUUCACAAUUUAAAACACAACCAAGAGAUCAACUAUUAAUGAACUAAACUAUAUCAAUCAAAGAAUCGAAACCAAAUUAAUCACCAAUCAUGAACUGUCAUAAUUAAUAGCGUUCAAACUAUUAUUUACUAAACAAAAUUAUAAUUAAGAUCUACAUUUAAAAGACAUUAUUUCAAAUAUCAAAAUCUAAAUAAACCAACGAAUAUCUAAUCAACACCUAAACUAACAUGAAUCAAUCAGAUAAGGACCUAAAUGAAACAGAACAGAAAAAGAGUUAUUAAUUUUAAACCGAUGAUUAUCACCAAACAAAAUUAAAAAGCUACACAAUCACUAAAAUUCAAUGAACACUAAGAAAAUAAAAGAAACUAAACUUGAAAACUUACUGACUCACUUCAAGACUCCGGUCAGACUUCAAAAUUCGAACACGAACAUUUUCGACAAACAUAAAGCUCAACUGAUGAUUAAUUUACUACGAGGAAGGCUACAGGGUCAUUUGGUAUCAAAUUGGUGAAGUUUGGGUCAGUUAGAGUUUUGUCAAGAAAAACUAAAAUUGGUAUUAGAACAAUUCUGGCGGGAUUCAUGGGAUGGGUUUAAGGGGGUUGGGUAGAGGAAGGCCAAGCGGUCAUAGGGUGUUAAUUUGGUGGUGUUUGGGCAAGGUCGCGUCAUGAUCGAAAAAUUCCAAAUGAAGAUUCGAAGAAAAUGGUUGAUGUUUGAGAGAAGCAGAUGGUGGAUUUGGAUAGAGGAGGGAGAGGGGAGUCAGGGGUGUGAUUUUCAGGUCAUUUGGAGGUGGGACACCCUGCGGCGAUGAUUUCCGGACGGCGGGGACAGUGGUGUUACACAGUCUGUACGAGGAAGAAGGGACUUUGUCGUUGGUUUCAAAGAGUUUCAGACACUUUUAUUUAAAAGACCCUAUGAAUUCUGGACCAUUGAUUUUAAGAAGAUGAAUGACUGAGAUUGAAUGGACGCCAAAACGGUGUCGUUUGGGUUAGGAGUGUGGCAGACUGGGACGCGUAAGGCUUGUUGCUUGGUUGCGAUUGGGAAAUUGGGCUGAAUCAAUGCCCAAAUCCUAA